GAUGAACGCUGGCGGCGUGCCUAAUACAUGCAAGUCGAGCGAACGGACGAGAAGCUUGCUUCUCUGAUGUUAGCGGCGGACGGGUGAGUAACACGUGGAUAACCUACCUAUAGACUGGGAUAACUUCGGGAAACCGGAGCUAAUACCGGAUAAUAUUUUGAACCGCAUGGUUCAAAAGUGAAAGACGGUCUUGCUGUCACUUAUAGAUGGAUCCGCGCUGCAUUAGCUAGUUGGUAAGGUAACGGCUUACCAAGGCAACGAUGCAUAGCCGACCUGAGAGGGUGAUAGGCCACACUGGAACUGAGACACGGUCCAGACUCCUACGGGAGGCAGCAGUAGGGAAUCUUCCGCAAUGGGCGAAAGCCUGACGGAGCAACGCCGCGUGAGUGAUGAAGGUCUUCGGAUCGUAAAACUCUGUUAUUAGGGAAGAACAUAUGUGUAAGUAACUGUGCACAUCUUGACGGUACCUAAUCAGAAAGCCACGGCUAACUACGUG
rnacentral:rRNA from 1 species